rnacentral:rRNA from 1 species
GAUGAACGCUAGCGGGAGGCCUAACACAUGCAAGCCGAGCGGUAUUGUUUCUUCGGAAAUGAGAGAGCGGCGUACGGGUGCGUAACACGUGUGCAACCUGCCUUUAUCUGGGGGAUAGCCUUUCGAAAGGAAGAUUAAUACUCCAUAAUAUAUUGAACGGCAUCGUUUAAUAUUGAAAGCUCCGGCGGAUAGAGAUGGGCACGCGCAAGAUUAGCUAGUUGGUGAGGUAAGGGCUCACCAAGGCGAUGAUCUUUAGGGGGCCUGAGAGGGUGAUCCCCCACACUGGGACUGAGACACGGACCAGACUCCUACGGGAGGCAGCAGUGAGGAAUAUUGGUCAAUGGGUGCAAGCCUGAACCAGCCAUCCCGCGUGAAGGACGACUGCCCUAUGGGUUGUAAACUUCUUUUGUAUAGGGAUAAACCUACCCUCGUGAGGGUAGCUGAAGGUACUAUACGAAUAAGCACCGGCUAACUCCGUGCCAGCAGCCGCGGUAAGAC